rnacentral:tRNA from 2 species
GGUCGAGUAGCCAAGAGGCUUAAGGCGUCUCUCUGCAAAAGAGAAAUUCGUGGGUUCAAAUCCCACCUCGACCU